GGUAGUCCACGCCGUAAACGAUGUCGACUUGGAGGUUGUUCCCUUGAGGAGUGGCUUCCGGAGCUAACGCGUUAAGUCGACCGCCUGGGGAGUACGGCCGCAAGGUUAAAACUCAAAUGAAUUGACGGGGGCCCGCACAAGCGGUGGAGCAUGUGGUUUAAUUCGAUGCAACGCGAAGAACCUUACCUGGCCUUGACAUCCAGAGAACUUAGCAGAGAUGCUUUGGUGCCUUCGGGAACUCUGAGACAGGUGCUGCAUGGCUGUCGUCAGCUCGUGUUGUGAAAUGUUGGGUUAAGUCCCGCAACGAGCGCAACCCUUAUCCUUUGUUGCCAGCGAUUCGGUCGGGAACUCAAAGGAGACUGCCGGUGAUAAACCGGAGGAAGGUGGGGAUGACGUCAAGUCAUCAUGGCCCUUACGGCCAGGGCUACACACGUGCUACAAUGGCGUAUACAAAGAGAAGCGACCUCGCGAGAGCAAGCGGACCUCAUAAAGUACGUCGUAGUCCGGAUUGGAGUCUGCAACUCGACUCCAUGAAGUCGGAAUCGCUAGUAAUCGUGGAUCAGAAUGCCACGGUGAAUACGUUCCCGGGCCUUGUACACACCGCCCGUCACACCAUGGGAGUGGGUUGCAAAAGAAGUAGGUAGCUUAACCUUCGGGAGGGCGCUUACCACUUUGUGAUUCAUGACUGGGGUGAAGUCGUAACAAGGUAACC
rnacentral:rRNA from 1 species